UGCCAGCCGCCGCGGUAAUACGGAGGGGGCGAGCGUUAUUCGGAAUUAUUGGGCGUAAAGGGCUCGCAGGCUGCUUGAACAGUUAGACGUGAAAUCCCCGGGCUCACCCUGGGAACUGCGUUUAAUACUAGCAAGCUAGAGAAAUAGAGAGGAAAGUGGAACUCCCAGUGUAGAGGUGAAAGUCGUAGAUAUUGGGAAGAACACCAGUGUCGAAAGCGACUUUCUGGCUAUUUUCUGACGCUGAGUAGCGAGAGCGUGGUGCGCAAACAGUAUUAGAUA
rnacentral:rRNA from 1 species